rnacentral:rRNA from 1 species
UACAGAGGGGGCAAGCGUUGUUCGGAAUUACUGGGCGUAAAGGGCGCGUAGGCGGCCUUCUAAGUCGAACGUGAAAUCCCCGGGCUCAACCCGGGAACUGCGUCCGAGACUGGAAGGCUCGAAUCCGGGAGAGGGAUGUGGAAUUCCAGGUGUAGCGGUGAAAUGCGUAGAUAUCUGGAGGAACAUCGGUGGCGAAGGCGGCAUCCUGGACCGGUAUUGACGCUGAGGAGCGAAAGCCAGGGGAGCAAACGGG